AUACGGAGGGGGCUAGCGUUGUUCGGAAUUACUGGGCGUAAAGCGUACGUAGGCGGACUGAUCAGUUGGGGGUGAAAUCCCAGGGCUUAACCCUGGAACUGCCUUCAAUACUGUCAGUCUUAAGUUUGGGAGAGGUGAGUGGAAUUCCUAGUGUAGAGGUGAAAUUCAUAGAUAUUAGGAGGAACACCAGUGGCGAAGGCGGCUCACUGGCCCAUUACUGACGCUGAGGUACGAAAGCGUGGGGAGCAAACAGGAUUAGAAACCCUAGUAGUCC
rnacentral:rRNA from 1 species